GAAAAUAAGUCAGCUGAGAGCCAAGAGCAGCACAUUAAAUCAACAAAAAUGUCGUAACUACCUUCAAUUAUAGGAAAACAAACUUCUAAACCUUACCUUCUGUGUCUGUCUAUCAGAAAGAGCACAUCAGAGUCCACAAAAUUGUAGGUUCUGCAAAUGGGAUGAACCAGAUAGGCUAAGACUAUUGGAUGGCCAGAAUACAAAUCCUUGUGUCAGGGUACAAAUCUUCAAACUGAUGGAUUUUUUUUUACUUUAUCUACUCUAGAGGGUGGAGAUCAGCAACAAUAGUCUCUUGUAUUUGCAAGAAUGAGACUUAAGUUUUCACUUUGAGUUACGAAGUCAAGUUAAAUAACAAAGUAACACUCGAGUCCAGACAGUCUGCAACCUUGACACGAGUUUGCAGAUCAAAAUAAGCUCCUAGAUGUGUCUACCUGUCUUUAACUUGAUCUACUAAUUGAUGUGAACACUAAAAAUGGAGUUUAGCUCUCUUGAAUUUAAUUGCAUUUGAGUUGACCCAACCAGAUGAAGCUGGAAUCUUAAAAAAAAAAAAAAAAGAUUUUCAGAUAAAAUAGCAGCCAGAGUUGUUUAAAAAAAAUGACAUUUGCCAUUUGUGAUCUGUUCACUAUCUGCAAUUCAGGUUCAAGUCACUUGAAACAGUGCUUAGCAGUCCACAAAUGGUCAGCCAGAAAUCUAAGGUAGAAUUAAGAUUCCAUCUGAUUUCCUGAAAUUCAGCUUCUGCCCGAAGCUCUGUGUUACAGCACCUGCUGAAAGGUUUCAGCUGAAGCCUUACUUUAAAAAAAAUCAAUAGCUGAACUGCUGAUUACGUAAAAAUGUGGUCUCCUCUCAUCUUUGAGCUGGCUGUUUUCCUUCCAGUGCACAUGCCAUUAUCUCCGUAAUACUAAUGGGGUUCAGCUACACAGAAAAUACCUUGCUUUGGUACCUCUCUAUGAGAAAUUAAGCAUCAGCAAUUCUCAUUGACCUUACCAGGAAUUAUCAAGUUUUGUAUCUUAAAUAGCAAUUUUUAGGAUGCAUACAAUAGCAUCUUGUGGCAGAAAAUCUGAUGUGUGUGUGAAAGUGGAAUUUCUUAAAGAGAGCUAAGC
rnacentral:lncRNA from 1 species